rnacentral:rRNA from 1 species
CAGUAGGGAAUCUUCCACAAUGGACGAAAGUCUGACGGAGCAACGCCGCGUGAGUGAAGAAGGUUUUCGGAUCGUAAAACUCUGUUGUUGGAGAAGAACGUAUUUGAUAGUAACUGAUCAGCUAGUGACGGUAUCCAACCAGAAAGCCACGGCUAACUACGUGCCAGCAGCCGCGGUAAUACGUAGGUGGCAAGCGUUGUCCGGAUUUAUUGGGCGUAAAGCGAGCGCAGGCGGUUUCUUAAGUUUGAUGUGAAAGCCUUCGGCUCAACCGAAGAAGUGCAUCGGAAACUGGGGAACUUGAGUGCAGAAGAGGACAGUGGAACUCCAUGUGUAGCGGUGAAAUGCGUAGAUAUAUGGAAGAACACCAGUGGCGAAGGCGGCUGUCUGGUCUGUAACUGACGCUGAGGCUCGAAAGCAUGGGUAGCAAACAGGAUUAGAUACCCUGGUAGUCCAUGCCGUAAACGAUGAGUGCUAGGUGUUGGAGGGUUUCC